rnacentral:rRNA from 1 species
UACGUAGGGGGAAAGCGUUGUCCGGAAUCAUUGGGCGUAAAGAGCGUGUAGGCGGCCCGGUAAGUCCGCUGUGAAAGUCCAGGGCUCAACCCUGGGAUGCCGGUGGAUACUGUCGGGCUCGAGUCCGGAAGAGGAGUGUGGAAUUCCUGGUGUAGCGGUGAAAUGCGCAGAUAUCAGGAGGAACACCAAUGGCGAAGGCAGCACUCUGGGACGUGACUGACGCUGAGACGCGAAAGCGUGGGGAGCAAACAGG